GCUCAUGCCUAUAGUCCCAGCUACUCAGGAGGCUGAGACAGGAGGAUAGCCUGAGUCCAGGAGUUCUGGGCUAUAGUGCACUAUGCCAAUCGGUUGUCCUCACCAAGUUUAGCAUCAAUAUGGUGACCUACUGGGAGCGGGGGGCCACCAGGUUGCCUAAGGAGGGGUGAACCGGCCCAGGUAGGAAAUGGAGCAGGUCAAAACUCCCAUGCUGAUCAGAUGUGGGAUCGAGCCUGUGAAAGCCACUGCACUCCAGCCUGAGCAACAGAGCAAGACCCAUCUCUU
rfam:Otolemur garnettii contig013791, whole genome shotgun sequence.